rnacentral:rRNA from 1 species
ACGACGCUGGCGGCAUGCCUAACACAUGCAAGUCUAGGGGUAGCAAUACCACUGGCGCACGGGUGAGUAACACGUAGGUUAUCUGCCCCCAUCACAGACAUAACCCCGGGAAACCGGGGCUAAUAUCUGAUGAGGUCGCGAGAUCAAAGCUUCGGCGGAUGGGGAUGAGCCUGCGGCUGAUUAGCUAGUUGGUGAGGUAAUGGCUCACCAAGGCGACGAUCAGUAGCUGGUCUGAGAGGACGAACAGCCACACUGGAACUGAGACACGGUCCAGACUCCUACGGGAGGCAGCAGUGAGGAAUAUUGGUCAAUGGGAGCAAUCCUGAACCAGCAAUGCCGCGUGUGGGAUGACAGGGCUUCGCCUUGUAAACCACUGUCGGACGGGACGAAAGGAGGCCUCGGGCCUCUGGGACGGUACCGUCAAAGGAAGGGUCGGCUAACUACGUGCCAGCAGCCGCGGUAAUACGUAGGACCCGAGCGUUGUCCGGAUUUACUGGGUAUAAAGGG